UACGUAGGUGACAAGCGUUAUCCGGAAUUACUGGGCGUAAAGCGCACGCAAGCGGUCUGUCAAGUCUGGCGUGAAAUCUCUUGGCUUAACCAGGAGCGGUCGCUGGAAACUGAUGGGCUUGAGGCGAUGAGAGGAGUGCGGAAUCCCCGGUGUAGUGGUGGAAUGCGUAGAUAUCGGGGGGAACACCAGUGGCGAAAGCGGCACUCUGGCGUCGGCCUGACGCACAUGUGCGAAAGCGUGGGGAGCGAACGGG
rnacentral:rRNA from 1 species